rnacentral:tRNA from 1 species
GUUUUAAUAGUUUAAAAAAAAUUUAGGUUUUGUAAUCCUAAGAUAAUGUUAAUUUUAAAACU